CUGCUGCUAUCAGAGCAUAUAUUCAGGGAAACUUGAGUCUAUGUCCUCUGGGUGGCAGUCCUCAAACUUGUCCCAAAUUAACUCUCUACUCAUAUUAAUUUUGCCUCCGUUUCUUCCUUUGGGUCGACAUUUCACAGUGACGCCCCCUUGCCACUGGGCACUCUUGGACGUGGCACUCAGUACCAGGAUGAACCGAUUGAGUUCCUUCGACUCCAGAGGUUUCCCUGGGCACAAAGAGCUGGACCAGGCGUCGCAGGCUCCUUUGCGUGGGCUCCCACUCCGAGGGACAGGCAGCUCCCCGCCUUCCACCAGGUUCCCCUGAUGAAAAGGAGGCAUGCCUACAGGAGCUGUGCGCGUGCAGGUGCUGGCUGCAGGGUUCAGCAAGGACCUCCUUCUCUUUCCUCAGCUGCGAGGGCAGUGUCUUGGGGACCGGUAGUCCAUGACUGGCUGAGGAGACUGCCCUGGGCCACCUGCCACCAUCACUGUGGUUCCCUGUCAGCACCCUGUUGUUCUCAGGUCACUUUCUGGAAGUCCUGCAUGGCGCGAGUGAAAGCUUGGUGGAAAGGCAGCUGUGUAAUUUACCUGCACCUGCUGAAAUCCAAAUGCAUCAUCCAGGACCAAGUGAAUUCAGUAAAGGAGGAGACUCCUACUCAAGUAGGCAAUUAGACUUUGAGGACAGAAAUAGGAAUCUGGGCCUAAUGAAGAGAACUAUGCGCGAGUGUGAUUUCACCCCCUUUGUCCACGGUAUGCUGAGCAGCACUCAGUGUGGCAGUGUAACAAGAGUCAGACUCAGCUUCCUGCCGCAGUCUGACCUCCUGCAAGCCUGUUCGUCGUUCUCAGCCUCAGUUUCCCUGAUGGUACAAUGAUGGGUGUCACUAGAUAACCUCUAAUGCGUGGCCCAGUUCUAGCAUUCAGAGGUAAAAAUGAACUGCAUGCAAGAAGCACCCAGAUGUCUAGGAAGUAGUCCCUGCCUUUGUUUUGCCACAGAAUAGGCAUGAGAUAGAAUCGAAUAGGGAUAGAGAAGCUGCGCUAAAAUUCUUUCAUCUCAACAGUUUGCACCUCCUGAAUUUCUAGUUGUUUUCUUUAAGAAAAUGUGCUGUCAGAUACCAGCACUGUUCAUUUGUUGAUUUUCCACUAUGCUUGGCUUCAACAGUAUGCUCUGCUUUGUAUCAAAAGCCCAGAGACGGGAAGUGCGUUUGUUCUUGGAAAAUUGGGAGGUGGAUCUAUUUAUCUACUGAUUAUGAAAGUUACAGAUUCUAACAGAAAAUUUGGAAAAUACGGAAAAAUUUAAAGAAGAGGCCGGGUAUGUGGCUCACGCCUGUAAUCCCUGCACUUUGGGAGGACGAGGCAGGCAGAUUACCUGAGGUCAGGAGUUCGAGACCAGCCUGGCCAACAUGGUGAAACCCUGUCCCUACUAAAAAUACAAAAUCAGCCAGGCGUGAUGGUGAGCACCUGUCAUCCCAGCUACUCAGGAGUCUGAGGCAGGAGAAUCACUUGAACCCGGGAGGUAAAGGUUGCAGUGAGCCAAUAUUGUGCCAUUGCAUUCCAGCCUUGGCAAAGAGCAAAACUCCAUCUCAAAAUAAAAAAAAAAAAAAGGGAAGAAAUCAAAAUCACCCAGAGGACAGCAUCAUUAAUAUGUUACGUACUUUCUUCCAACCUUUUCAAUGGGAUAUAUAAAUUCAAAUAUAGAAAUCUUAAAAUUGCAGAAAACUACAGAUAUAACAAGCACUUGUAUAUCUACCACAGAGAAGUUCUAACAACUGCUAAUAUCGAUUACAUCUCUCGCAAAUCUUUUUUGCUUUCUAAGGAAUUAAAACAUAGUAUAGAUUUGAGGCCCCCUGGAUGCCCGCCACUCCUGCCCCAGGCCCGUCGCAACAGCCAGUCAUUCAAUGUGUAUCUUCUCAGUCUAUUUCAGCCUAUUCAGUCUAUAUGGGUGUAACAAUGAGUGAUUUGGAAGAUUGUUUUUUAUGUUUCUAAGAAUGCAUAUAAAUGAUAUUAUAC
ensembl:lncRNA